GACGAACCGAGCGAACGUUGUUCGGAAUCACUGGGCUUAAAGGGCACGUGAGCGGGUGCUCAAGUCCGUGGUGAAAUCCUCCGGCUCAACCGGAGAACUGCCUCGGAUACUGGGCGUCUCGAGUGUGGUAGGGGUAUGCGGAACUAUCGGUGGAGCGGUGAAAUGCGUUGAUAUCGAUAGGAACUCCGGUGGCGAAGGCGGCAUACUGGACCACCACUGACGCUGAUGCGCGAAAGCCAGGGGAGCAAACGGG
rnacentral:rRNA from 1 species